rnacentral:rRNA from 1 species
CGAUUGGGCUUGACAUCCCACGAACCUCUUCGAAAGAAGGGGGUGCCCGCAAGGGAGCGCGGAGACAGGUGGUGCAUGGCUGUCGUCAGCUCGUGUCGUGAGAUGUUGGGUUAAGUCCCGCAACGAGCGCAACCCUCACCUCUUGUUGCCAUCAGGUCAUGCUGGGCACUCUAGAGGAACUGCCCCGGUCAACGGGGAGGAAGGCGGGGAUGACGUCAAGUCAUCAUGCCCCUUACGUCCUGGGCUACACACGUGCUACAAUGGCCGGUACAAAGGGAUGCCACACCGCGAGGUAGAGCUAAACCCAAAAAGCCGGUCUAAGUUCAGAUUGGAGUCUGCAACUCGACUCCAUGAAGGAGGAAUCGCUAGUAAUCGCGUAUCAGCACGACGCGGUGAAUACGUUCCCGGGCCUUGUACACACCGCCCGUCACACCACGAAAGCCCGCUGUACUCGAAGUCGCUGAGCUUGACAUCCCACGAACCUGCCGCUGUACUCGAAGUCGCUGAG